rnacentral:rRNA from 1 species
UACAGAGGGUGCAAGCGUUAAUCGGAAUUACUGGGCGUAAAGAGCGCGCAGGCGGUCAGAUAAGUCGAAUGUGAAAGCCCCCGGCUCAACUGGGGAGGGUCAUUCGAUACUGUUCGACUCGAAGGCAGGAGAGGGAAGCGGAAUUCCCGGUGUAGUGGUGAAAUGCGUAGAUAUCGGGAGGAACACCAGUGGCGAAGGCGGCUUCCUGGCCUGUUCUUGACGCUGAGGCGCGAAAGCUAGGGGAGCAAACGGGG